rnacentral:rRNA from 1 species
UCUCAAGCGUUGUUCGGAUUCAUUGGGCGUAAAGGGUGCGUAGGCGGCGCGGUAAGUCGGGGGUGAAAUCUCGGAGCUUAACUCCGAAACUGCAUUCGAUACUGCCGUGCUUGAGGACUGGAGAGGAGACUGGAAUUUACGGUGUAGCGGUGAAAUGCGUAGAUAUCGUAAGGAAGACCAGUGGCGAAGGCGGGUCUCUGGACAGUUCCUGACGCUGAUGCGCGAAAGCGUGGGGAGCAAACGGG